ACUUAAAUAGCUUAUAUAAGAGUAUAAUUUUGAAGAAAUUAAGGAAGUUUUAGACUUUUAAGUA
rnacentral:tRNA from 1 species